GCGGGAGGGCAGAGUCUGUAGACGAGUUCGUUAGGCGUCUUGCGGAGCCCGUGGUCCCGAAGUCAGGCGCUGCAGGCUGAACCCUGAGAUGCACUCCCGUGGAGGGUACAACACAGAAGAGAAAAGAUGGCCGUUGUAUGUUUAGAAGAGAAGUUUGAGACUUACAGUACAAUGAGAAAACUGGAACCCACUUAGACCUCAUCGCUUAAUUCUGUGCUGUGUGUCUACGUCAGAAGCCUCCGUCUUUGGCUUGGCAGUGCCCGUUACGGAGUCUCCUUUCGUAUCGUUCCCUCCAUUGAGGAGCCGUGUUGUUCGUUUCUGAAGUCAGCCAUG